UACGUAGGGUGCGAGCGUUAAUCGGAAUUACUGGGCGUAAAGCGUGCGCAGGCCGUUUCGUAAGACAGAUGUGAAAUCCCCGGGCUCAACCUGGGAACUGCAUUUGUGACUGCGAGACUAGAGUGUAGCAGAGGGGGGUAGAAUUCCACGUGUAGCAGUGAAAUGCGUAGAGAUGUGGAGGAAUACCGAUGGCGAAGGCAGCCCCCUGGGACGAGACUGACGCUCAUGCACGAAAGCGUGGGGAGCAAACAGG
rnacentral:rRNA from 1 species